UAAGCCGUAGUUCAGCUUGGUUUAGAAUGUGCGGCUUGAGCCCGCAUGGUCCGGGGUUCAAAUCCCCGCGGCCCCA
rnacentral:tRNA from 1 species